GCCGGAGUGGCGGAAUUGGUAGACGCCCGGGACUUAAAAUCCUGUGGGAGCAAUCCCGUGCCGGUUCGACUCCGGUCUCCGGCACCA
rnacentral:tRNA from 1 species